rnacentral:rRNA from 1 species
AUUGAACGCUGGCGGCAUGCUUUACACAUGCAAGUCGAACGGUAACAGCACUUCGGUGGCUGACGAGUGGCGAACGGGUGAGUAAUACAUGGGAACGUGCCUAGUAGUGGGGGAUAACUACUCGAAAGAGUAGCUAAUACCGCAUGAGAUCUAAGGAUGAAAGCAGGGGACCUUCGGGCCUUGCGCUACUAGAGCGGCUGAUGGCAGAUUAGGUAGUUGGUGGGAUAAAAGCUUACCAAGCCGACGAUCUGUAGCUGGUCUGAGAGGACGACCAGCCACACUGGGACUGAGACACGGCCCAGACUCCUACGGGAGGCAGCAGUGGGGAAUUUUGGACAAUGGGCGCAAGCCUGAUCCAGCAAUGCCGCGUGCAGGAUGAAGGCCUUCGGGUUGUAAACUGCUUUUGUACGGAACGAAAAGCCCUCUUCUAAUACAGGAGGGUCAUGACGGUACCGUAAGAAUAAGCACCGGCUAACUACGUG